GAUGAACGCUGGCGGCGUGCCUAAUACAUGCAAGUCGAGCGAACAGACGAGGAGCUUGCUCCUCUUACGUUAGCGGCGGACGGGUGAGUAACACGUGGAUAAUUUCCCUAUAAGACUGGGAUAACUUCGGGAAACCGGAGCUAAUCCCGGAUAAUAUAUUGAACCGCAUGGUUCAAUAGUUUAAGACGGAUUUGCUGUCACUUAUAGAUGGAUCCGCGCCGCAUUAGCUAGUUGGUAAGGUAACGGCUUACCAAGGCAACGAUGCGUAGCCGACCUGAGAGGGUGGUCGGCCAGACGGGAACUGAGACACGGUACAGACACCGACGGGAGGCCGCAGUAGGGAAUCUUCCGCAAUGCGGGAGAGAGUGAUGGAGCAACGCCGCGUGAGUGAUGAAGGUCCUCCGAUCGGAAAACUCUGAUAUUAGGGAAGAACAAAUGUGUAAGUAACUAUGCACGUCUUGACGGUACCUAAUCAGAAAGCCCCGGCUAACUACGUG
rnacentral:rRNA from 1 species